rnacentral:lncRNA from 1 species
GAAGACAAAAAUGUGUCGUAAAUAAUUACAUAUCAUAUUACAUUGAAAAGAAAUCGGUAUUUUGUUCAGCGUAUGUCAUCUGGAUGAAGUGAUACUGUAGAUCAAUGUAACAUAAUGCACUUCAGUGGGUCUAGCAUAAGAAAUAACCAUAACACACGUUAGCUUGGGACUCGGGACCAUGGAGUUGUUCCCUCUGCCAGUAUAAGCUCUCCCAUUUCCUGAAGCCCUUCCUUUUACAGAUGGGGAAACUGAGGCCCGGAGAGGAGAAGGGCAUGCUCAAGUUCACAUGGCAUGUGAGGGAGAAGCAGCAUGGGGACAAUGUGCUCCUGAAUCCUCUCCCCGCCUCUUCAGGACGGAGAAUGUAGCAGCCCCUCCAGGCGGCCCCAUUGCUCCCUGAGUCCUGAGGUCCUCACUAACCAAUCAUUGACUGGCCACAUUCUACCUCCCUUAGAAUAAAUGAUUCCAACAGUUGGGUCGGGGCAACGCAGCCUAAACACGGGAGAUGGAAAUGCUAUGGGAGGAAACUGGGUUAAGGAUCUGGAACCAGAGCUGUGCUCCUUACAAGUUCAUUUAUGAGGGACCUCUCUUCACGUCCAUUGGGAAGGGUAAUUAAGCAUGAAGAUUAAGUCAGGUUAUACCGUCCACGGGGAGGCCCUUCUGGGUUCUGGAUGGCCUUCACCAGGAGAGUUAAGACUUGAGCAACUCCCAUGUAGUUGGGAAGUUCAAACCCAUUAUCUCUUACCGAGGAGACAGCAAUGACCGUCAUGGAAGAGGAAGACCUCAAUUUAAGCAAACAGCUGUUUUUCGUUGACAACAGAAGGCUGCACAGGGCUCGGGUUGGCCCUUAGCGAACUGAUCCAUGGAACAAUGGUUUAAACAGACUCUCUCAUUGAGUACAGUGAAGAAAACAGCCUCACUUGCUAGCCCUGCACAGUGCGAAGUCCCCUGGAGUUGGAGUUGGAGCAUCAAGUUUGGAAAUGUGAGUCUAUUCAUCUCGGCCUGUUGGAGGUGAGGCAAAAAGUAAAAGACGCAGGACUCACCUCUUCUUCCCAGGACCGUGCACGGCUGUCUUGUUUCGUCCUCUUAGCCACUCUGGAAUGUUGGUACCAAUAUUGUCUAUUUAACAAAAGAAGAUUUUUGACUUAAAGAGAUCGAGUAACUUCUCCCA